ACUGCUCAGUAACACGUGGACAACCUGCCCAAAGGUCCGGGAUAACCCCGGGAAACUGGGGAUAAUACCGGAUAGGUCACAAAUACUGGAAGGUUUUGUGGCCGAAACUUCCGGGGCCUUUGGAUGGGUCUGCGGCUGAUUAGGUUGUUGCCGGUGUAACGUACCGUCAAGCCUGUAAUCAGUACGGGUUGUGGGAGCAAGAGCCCGGAGAUGGAUUCUGAGACACGAAUCCAGGCCCUACGGGGCGCAGCAGGCGCGAAAACUCUACAAUGCAGGCAACUGCGAUAGGGGAACAUCGAGUGAUACUCAUCUUGGGUGUCUGUCCUCCCGUCUAAAAAACGGGAGUUAGCAAGGGCCGGGCAAGACCGGUGCCAGCCGCCGCGGUAAUACCGGCGGCUCGAGUGGUGGCCGAUAUUAUUGAGUCUAAAGGGUCCGUAGCCGGCUUUGCAAGUCUUUUGGGAAAUCCAGCGGCUUAACCGUUGGUCGUCCGGGAGAUACUACAUUGCUUGGGACUGGGAGAGGUAGGAGGUACUCAGGGGGUAGGAGUGAAAUCCUGUAAUCCUUUGGGGACCACCGGUGGCGAAGGCGUCCUACCAGAACAGGUCCGACGGUGAGGGACGAAAGCUAGGGGCACGAACCGGAUUAGAUACCCGGGUAGUCCUAGCCGUAAACGAUGCUCGCUAGGUGUCACAACAAUCGUGAAUUGUUGUGGUGCCGUAGGGAAGCCGUGAAGCGAGCCACUUGGGAAGUACGACCGCAAGGUUGAAACUUAAAGGAAUUGGCGGGGGAGCA
rnacentral:rRNA from 1 species